rnacentral:rRNA from 1 species
CGUAGGUAACCUGCCUUGUAGCGGGGGAUAACUAUUGGAAACGAUAGCUAAUACCGCAUAACAAUGGAUGACACAUGUCAUUUAUUUUGAAAGGAGCAAUUGCUCCACUACAAGAUGGACCUGCGUUGUAUUAGCUAGUAGGUGAGGUAAUGGCUCACCUAGGCGACGAUACAUAGCCGACCUGAGAGGGUGAUCGGCCACACUGGGACUGAGACACGGCCCAGACUCCUACGGGAGGCAGCAUG